GCAGGGUGUGGUGAUGCCUACCUAUAAUCCCUGCUACUGAGGGAGGCUGAAGCCGGUGAGUCACUUGAAUUCCAGAGCUCUAAGAUGAAUAAGGGCUAGACCUGAUGGAGAAUCUGUAUAAGUCAGGCAGAAAUACGGUGAACCCCUGGGAGUUGAGGACUGCCAGGCUGCCUAAGAAGAGAUGAACUGAUCCAGGUUGAAAACAGAGCACAUGAAAGCUUCCAUGCCUAUAGGUAUUGGGACUGGGUUUGUGAGUAGCUAAUGUACUUCUGGCCUGGGUGAGAUAGGAAGAGUCAGUCUCAA
rnacentral:SRP_RNA from 1 species